GACGAACGCUGGCGGCGUGCUUAACACAUGCAAGUCGAACGCUGAAGCUUGGUGCUUGCACUGGGUGGAUGAGUGGCGAACGGGUGAGUAAUACGUGAGUAACCUGCCCUUGACUCUGGGAUAAGCCUGGGAAACUGGGUCUAAUACUGGAUAUGACAUGCCACUGCAUGGUGGUGUGUGGAAAGGGUUUUACUGGUUUUGGAUGGGCUCACGGCCUAUCAGCUUGUUGGUGGGGUAAUGGCCUACCAAGGCGACGACGGGUAGCCGGCCUGAGGGGGUGACCGGCCACACUGGGACUGAGACACGGCCCAGACUCCUACGGGAGGCAGCAGUGGGGAAUAUUGCACAAUGGGCGGAAGCCUGAUGCAGCGACGCCGCGUGAGGGAUGACGGCCUUCGGGUUGUAAACCUCUUUCAGCACGGAAGAAGCGAGAGUGACGGUACGUGCAGAAGAAGCGCCGGCUAACUACGUG
rnacentral:rRNA from 1 species